CUUUUAUCUUCAUUAUCAUCACUAAAAACAUCAAUGCAAACUUAUCCAGAUUUGUCUGUAAAGGAUGUGCUAGACCAGCGGCUUCCAUCUCCUACAGGCCACUUAGCAGAGGAGGUUGUUUUUGUAGUUGGGGUUGCCUUAGCAUGCACUCGAACAACUCCAGAGGAACGGCCUGUCAUGCAUUUCGUGGCACAAGAACUAGCAACACGAACUCAAGCAUACUUGUCUGAGCCGUUAGAGAAGAUAACUCUUAGCAAGUUAACAGCCUUUCAAAGAUAGAACAUAAAAGGAAGUUUUUUUUUUUUUUUAAUAGGUUUGUCCAGGAUCCUGCCUACCAUUUACUGGAUUAUAAUUAUGGAACUAAGUCUACC
rnacentral:misc_RNA from 1 species